CGGACCCUUCGGGGUUAGUGGCGGACGUCCUGAGUAACGCGUGAGAAUCUACCUUCAGGCUGGGGACAACAGUGGGAAACUGCUGCUAAUCCCCAAUAAGCCGCAGGGUAAAAGAUUAAUUACCUGGAGAGGAGCUCGCGUCUGAUUAGCUAGUUGGUAGGGUAAGAGCCUACCAAGGCGACGAUCGGUAGCUGGUCUGAGAGGAUGAGCAGCCACACUGGGACUGAGACACGGCCCAGACUCCUACGGGAGGCAGCAGUGGGGAAUUUUCCGCAAUGGGCGCAAGCCUGACGGAGCAAGACCGCGUGAGGGAGGAAGGCCCUUGGGUUGUAAACCUCUUUUCUCAGGGAAGAAGGCAGUGACGGUACCUGAGGAAUCAGCCUCGGCUAACUCCGUGCCAGCAGCCGCGGUAAUACGGAGGAGGCAAGUGUUAUCCGGAAUUAUUGGGCGUAAAGCGUCCGUAGGUGGCCUGUCAAGUCUGCCGUCAAAGGCCGCAGCUCAACUGCGGUCAGGCGGUGGAAACUGACGAGCUAGAGUCCAGUAGGGGUAGCGGGAAUUCCCAGUGUAGCGGUGAAAUGCGUAGAGAUUGGGAAA
rnacentral:rRNA from 1 species